GAUGAACGCUGGCGGCGUGCCUAAUACAUGCAAGUCGAGCGAACAGACGAGGAGCUUGCUCCUCUGACGUUAGCGGCGGACGGGUGAGUAACACGUGUAUAACCUACCUAUAAGACUGGGAUAACUUCGGGAAACCGGAGCUAAUACCGGAUAAUAUCUUGAACCGCAUGGUUCAAUAGUGAAAGACGGUUUUGCUGUCACUUAUAGAUGGAUCCGCGCCGCAUUAGCUAGUUGGUAAGGUAACGGCUUACCAAGGCAACGAUGCGUAGCCGACCUGAGAGGGUGAUAGGCCACACUGGAACUGAGACACGGUCCAGACUCCUACGGGAGGCAGCAGUAGGGAAUCUUCCGCAAUGGGCGAAAGCAUGACGGAGCAACGCCGCGUGAGUGAUGAAGGUCUUCGGAUCGUAAAACUCUGUUAUUAGGGAAGAACAAAUGUGUAAGUAACUAUGCACGUCUUGACGGUACCUAAUCAGAAAGCAACGGCUAACUACGUG
rnacentral:rRNA from 1 species